rnacentral:rRNA from 1 species
AUUGAACGCUGGCGGCAUGCCUUACACAUGCAAGUCGAACGGCAGCACGGGUGCUUGCACCUGGUGGCGAGUGGCGAACGGGUGAGUAAUACAUCGGAACGUACCUUAUCGUGGGGGAUAACGCAGCGAAAGUUGCGCUAAUACCGCAUACGCCCUGAGGGGGAAAGCGGGGGACCGUAAGGCCUCGCGCGAUUAGAGCGGCCGACGUCUGAUUAGCUUGUUGGUGAGGUAAAAGCUCACCAAGGCGAUGAUCAGUAGCUGGUCUGAGAGGACGAUCAGCCACACUGGGACUGAGACACGGCCCAGACUCCUACGGGAGGCAGCAGUGGGGAAUUUUGGACAAUGGGGGCAACCCUGAUCCAGCAAUGCCGCGUGAGUGAAGAAGGCCUUCGGGUUGUAAAGCUCUUUUGUCAGGGAAGAAACAGCAGCUCUAACACGGUCUGCGAAUGACGGUACCUGAAGAAUAAGCACCGGCUAACUACGUGCCAGCAGCCGCCGCCG